rnacentral:rRNA from 1 species
CCCUUAGAUGUUCUGGGCUGCACGCGCGCUACACUGAUGCGUUCAACGAGUUUAUGACCUUGCCCGAUAGGGUUGGGUAAUCUUUUUAAAUCGCAUCGUGAUGGGGAUAGAUUAUUGCAAUUAUUAAUCUUCAACGAGGAAUUCCUAGUAAGCGCGAGUCAUCAGCUCGUGCUGAUUACGUCCCUGCCCUUUGUACACACCGCCCGUCGCUCCUACCGAUUGAAUGGUCCGGUGAGUUGUCAGGAUGAGACGCUUUUGGCGGGCAACUGCGAGAAGCGACUCAGAAUCUCAGCAAACCUUAUCAUUUAGAGGAAGGAGAAGUCGUAACA